UUUUUUUUUUUAGAAUAACAAAAAAUAUUUUACUAAAACAUAAGAUUUACAGAAGUUUCCAGACAAGCCAUACAAAAUGGUCACAAGCUUUUUCUUCGUCUUUUGGGGGGGGGGGACAGAGAAUCUACACCUGACGGCAAAGUCACAAUGUUAUUAGUGAGGGCUGUGAUGUUUAUUUAAUGUUCCCAUUUUGGAUCAGACAGUCAAGCUUGUCCAUCUACAGCGUCUAAAGUUAGACUUGGCUAGAGAGCAUAUUCUAAAACACCGGUUAGCUGCAUUUAACCACUGCAAUUAGAUCCCUUAAGAGAGGGGAGGCCAUAAAAUUAAAAUAAAACUACUUUCCCCCUAAAAAAUAAAAUAAAAACACCCAUGCCCCUGGCAGCUAACCCUGACAACUACCUUCAUUCACAGUGCCUUGUACUUAGACCAUGAUGGGGAAAGGAGUCAAAGCAGAGAGUCCUGCUUCUCAGCAUCUCUCAGCAACCCGGGUGAUGCUUCUAGCCUCUGCUCAUGCUUUACAACAGUGAAUCAGGACAAGACAGGUUUGCUAAGUGCAUGUGAUCACCAAAGAUGAAGAUGCCUGGGCUUUUAUUCUGUAAUGUUUCUAAGACUGUGUCCAUUAAAUGCAAACAAAAAAAGGAAGAAGUCUUGGCAGAACAGGAGAAGUGGUGUACACUUGAUGAUCUGAUCGACUUAAAUAUUGUUCAUGGCAUAUAGCCUAGUCCAUGCUCUUGCUGUUUCUAUGGCUUGGGCUUCGUUGCUCUUCCACUGCUCAGCUACAUCAUUUGCUAAUGGAUCAUCUGGAUUAGGAGCACUUAACAAAGCCUGGAUUGAUAGCAGAACUGUUCGGAUCUGCAGUGCUGGGGACCACUUAUUUUAGGUGCUGCCAUUGGGUAUUCUUCUGGAAGGAAUAGUUCAAGUUUAAAAGUCCCUCCCUCAAAGGGGGAAUCCUGGGGACCAGCAAUGACCACAUGAAAAUAACGGGCGUUGCUCUCAUCUGGUUCUGCUUUAAUGCCAGGAACUGGUUCUGCCAGCAAACGCUGGGUUUCCUUGAUGAUCCUGCGGGGCAGCCCGGCCAUCUUGUCAGAUCCCGAGUUCGGCCUCUGCUCUUGUCUCC
rnacentral:lncRNA from 1 species